CUGUUUCGGUUGGCUUUGGGUGGAAGUAGUAUAAGAAAGGAUGGGCAUGGGAGAUGAAACCCCAUCGCAGAGAGAAGACAUGGACAGACUCAGUUUCUCCAGAAGCAGAUGGAAGAAGAAACCCGUUCAUAGAUCUUCGCGACUAUCCAUCUCUCUCCUCACACUCCUUUCCGUCAUCUUCAUCGUCUUCAUCGUCUUUUCCUGCAAUCGCAGUUCCAGAUCUCUCCUUUCCGUCUCGAGAAAACCUCUCGCGCCCCAAUUUCCCCAAUGCAGCGGACAAGCCCUGGAAGAGAGAUUCUUGUGGUACGCCCCCCACAGCGGGUUCAGCAAUCAGCUUUCUGAGUUCAAGAAUGCGAUAUUAAUGGCCGCUAUUCUGAAUCGAACUCUGAUUGUGCCUCCUGUUCUGGAUCACCACGCUGUUGCUCUGGGAAGUUGCCCUAAAUUUAGAGUUUCGAAUCCGUCGGAACUUCGGAUGGCCGUCUGGGAACAUGCGAUGGAACUUAUUCGGAAUCGCAGGUAUAUCUCCAUGGCUGAUAUUAUUGAUCUUUCUUCCCUGAAGUCCUCUUUCAAGGUUCAAACCAUGGAUUUCAGGGAAUUUGUGUCCUUAUGGUGUGGUGUGAAUUUUGAUUUCACUUGUUUCAAUGGCUCAAGUACUCAAUCUUCUUUGUUUGAAAGCUUAAGACAAUGUGGAUCUCUAUUGUCUGGGCUGGAUGGCAAUGUGGACAAGUGUUUAUAUGCUUUAGAUGAAGACUGCAGAACAACAGUUUGGACAUACAAAAAGGAAGAUGGAGAUGGACUGUUGGAUUCAUUCCAGCCUGAUGAGCAACUCAAGAAAAAGAAGAAAAUUUUGUAUGUUAGGAGACGUCGAGAUGUAUAUAGGACUCUUGGACCUGGUUCUACAGCAGAAUUGGCCACUGUUCUUGCAUUUGGGAGCCUUUUCACAGCCCCAUACAAAGGCUCGGAGCUGUACAUUGAUAUUCAUGAAGCUCCAAGUGACCAAAGGAUACAAUCUGUACUUCAUGGGAUUGAGUUUCUUCCAUUUGCUCCUGAAAUUAUGAGCGCUGGACGGAAAUUUGCUCUUGAGAUAAUAAAGGCUCCUUUCAUUUGUGCACAGCUCAGAUUGUUAGAUGGGCAGUUCAAAAACCACUGGAAGGCUACUUUCUUGGGGUUAAAAGAAAUUCUGGAGCCUUUGAGGCAGAGAGCUCCUCUACCUGUACAUAUUUUUGUUAUGACUGAUCUUCCUGAAGGCAACUGGACUGGAAUUUACUUGGGGGAUUUGGCUAGAGACACGGCUUCUUUUAAGAUGCAUGUUCUAAGAGAAGAUGAUGAAUUGGUGAUACAAGCUGCAAAGAAACUUCUAGCUGCAGGACAUAGUAAGAGGUCUGGGUUGGUUCCGAAGAGUAUGGAUCAAUUGAAUGAGAUAAACAAGCAUUGUCCUCUUCAGUUAUUGCCUGAUAUACUUUUAUACAUAGAGGAAACUGUUUGCAGCUGUGCAUCACUUGGCUUUUCUGGGACUGCUGGGUCAACUAUUGCAGUUAGAUUUCAUCCCAAUAAGCAAUGGCAUGAAAGAACCUUCCCUUGAGGUUAAAGUGGAGCAUGAGUUGGGCAGCAGUCUUCAGCCUAAUCCAUCAUCCUUAAUAAGCCACUAACAAUUGCUGUUCAGAAUUUCUGGUUUAAGGAUGAUGCAACUUCUAUUUGAAUUAUAUCAGUCUGGAUCAGCUCAGCUCUGUAGCAUCCUUGAAGAAUGAAACCAUAUCUAGUGACAUUCUCCCUGGAGAACACUUACAUCAGAUCUGAAAGGUAUAUUCAAGAUGGCAGCUCCAAUGAAGAGAAUCCCCUCUAGCUUCUACUACCGUGCCUUUGGUUUCCUCGUCUGAUGAUUAUACUUCCCCCAAUGUUGAUCCUCCCAUUGCUGUCUGGAAAGAUUUGCCACCAUAUUUAGUGCAAUGCUUGACCAAGGAACCAUGUGAUGGAGCUGGAGCAGGUGUUGCCAUGUUUAACUCACGUCAUAGCCUUUCAAUAUAGUUAAACGCAAAUUAAAAUCCACUACAUUGCUGCCUAGCAAGAAAAAAAAAUCCAUGGCGUUGCUGGAUAUGGUAAGCAUGUAUUAGAACAAGUUUAAGCUUCAAUAUGAUUAUGAUGGUUGCCCCUUCUUCUCUUUAAUUUCCCUCUUCCCUGCUCUUUGUUGGUUGUUUGCUUGUUUUGGCAGGGGAUGGCGUGAUUGAUAUUGGUUUUGUUUUGUAGGUUUUGUUUCUGGCAAUUGUGAUUAAUAAUGUGGCAAACCCAAUGAAUUCUCAUUUUUUGGGUUGAGAUGGUCUUUUCUGAUACUGUUUUGUGUUGAAUUUGCCAUGUGAGAACUUCCCAUGGUACAACUAUUCAUUUGAAAGUUACCAUAGUAGGCUUGAAACCAUGAGCCACACCACCCCCCCCCCACCUUUCCUAGUGCUGCGUACCAGGUUUGAUUUGAUUGAGUCUGAAAAGAAUCAGCCGAACCUGAAUGAAAUAAUCAUUUUUUACAUAAAAAAUCUUUAGAUUGCUUUUUCUCAGUAUUGCCUUUUAUAUUUCUAAAUGUGGGCCUUGUUAGCUUUAGCAAUGUCUUUGUGGAAGGAGCAGUCAAGUUGCAAGUUGCGGUUAAAAAAUUCCCUUUUUUGGGAAACAUCCUCACCAUUUGCCUUAUCAAUAGGACUAAACAGGUGAAAUCGAUGGCUCGUGAUAGGAGACGGUAAAUAUGAAGUUGGAUUUUGAAGUGCCAGCUUCUUCAUAGCAUACCAACCCAGGUAUUUAUAGUCUACGACUACAAGGCAGACCUGGCCAAUUGGAAAGUGGCUGUAUCCUGAAAAGGGCGCAUCGCACAUGUUUGUUGCUGGCAAAUCAUGAGAAGAAAUGAAGCGUGUGCAAAAGAAAAUGCGGAUCAAGCUUCAAUUCAUGUUUACAUGGAUGGUGGGUACCCUGUAGAAUUUAUCGAUGUGUUUGAAGUCUUGUGACUAUCGUAGGGAUUAGUAGCAUUGGCUGAUGGUGAGGUAGAGAUGUAGAAUCUAGAUAAAUGGAAUAUGUUAUGGUAAUGUUAAGUCUCCGCAUCGGCUGCUGGUGCUGUACAAUCUGUUUAUGAUGGAAAAUAUGUGCUGGUGGCCCCAAUCCGUGCACAAUUGAGUGAGUAAUCUUUUUCAUGUCUUUUUCUAUUCGUGUCGAUGUUGUUAAUUGGAGCGGAACCUUUUGGUUAAUUAUUACAACCUUGUUUCUUAUCCAAUUUUCAUCAAGAAUGGCUUGUUCAAGCAA